GGCUGGGCUGAAUGUAAGUUAUCUCAACUGAUUUUCACACCAUCAGUCACAGAUCAAGCUCCUUGUCCUUCUGCUUGUUUCCCCCUUCUCACUAUUGCACUUGACUAGUCUAAA
rnacentral:Y_RNA from 1 species